rnacentral:rRNA from 1 species
CGAACGGCAGCGCGGGAGCAAUCCUGGCGGCGAGUGGCGAACGGGUGAGUAAUACAUCGGAACGUGCCCAAUCGUGGGGGAUAACGCAGCGAAAGCUGUGCUAAUACCGCAUACGAUCUACGGAUGAAAGCAGGGGAUCGCAAGACCUUGCGCGAAUGGAGCGGCCGAUGGCAGAUUAGGUAGUUGGUGAGGUAAAGGCUCACCAAGCCUUCGAUCUGUAGCUGGUCUGAGAGGACGACCAGCCACACUGGGACUGAGACACGGCCCAGACUCCUACGGGAGGCAGCAGUGGGGAAUUUUGGACAAUGGGCGAAAGCCUGAUCCAGCCAUGCCGCGUGCAGGAUGAAGGCCUUCGGGUUGUAAACUGCUUUUGUACGGAACGAAACGGCCUUUUCUAAUAAAGAGGGCUAAUGACGGUACCGUAAGAAUAAGCACCGGCUAACUACGUGCCAGCAGCCGCGGUAAUACGUAGGGUGCAAGCGUUAAUCGGAAUUACUGGGCGUAAAGCGUGCGCAGGCGGUUAUGUAAGACAGUUGUGAAAUCCCCGGGCUCAACCUGGGAACUGCAUCUGUGACUGCAUAGCUGGAGUACGGUAGAGGGGGGUGGAAUUCCGCGUGUAGCAGUGAAAUGCGUAGAUAUGCGGAGGACACCGAUGGCGAAGGCAA